rnacentral:lncRNA from 1 species
AUGUGUAUUCACAGAAUUUUUACAAUGUUGAUGUGUUUUAACUAUGCUGUAACCCGCCCGGAGCCACGAAGAGAGGCCCCUAUCGACAUAUUUUUAUGCUUACGCUUAAAGAGCCAUCAACUGUGGAAUGAGGUGGACAAUGAAAGAGAACCAGACUCAUCAGUUUUGGAGAAUACAAUGUCUACAAAAGAAUAAUAAAGAUCAGCACAUACAGUAUGUACUAUAAUAACCAGUACUCCCAUGCAGUCAGAGAUUUAGGUACAGGGUGGCAAAUUGAUGUCUUUGUGCUCCAGAGUCCAUGAUCAAUGGUCUAGCAGAGGAUGACUGCAAGUUAGAGCAAUACAGGAUGUGAGACAUCACAGGGAAUAAAUGCUUACAGGUGUGUGUGUGUGUGUGUGUGUGUGUGUGUAUACACAUACACACACACACACACACACACACAGAGAGAGACUGUGCCUAAACAACUAAAGCAGUGGUUCCCAGCCUGUGGAUCCCCAGGUAUUUUGGGCUACAACUCCCAGAAAUCCCAGCCAGUUUGCCAGCUGUUAGGAUUUCUGGGAGUUGAAGGCCAAAACACCUGGGGACCCACAGGUUGAGAGCCACUGAACUAGAGAGUAUCAUGCAAACUAA